CCUACGGGAGGCAGCAGUGAGGAAUAUUGGUCAAUGGGCGCGAGCCUGAACCAGCCAAGUCGCGUGAGGGUAGACGCUCCUAUGGAUUGUAACCCUCUUUUGUCGGGGGGCAAAAGACGCCACGCGUGGCGUUCCGAGAGUACCCGAAGAGAAAGCAUCGGCUAACUCCGUGCCAGAAGCCGCGGUAAUACGGAGGAUCCGAGCGUUAUCCGGCUUUUGUGGGUUUAAAGGGUGCGCAGGCGGAAGAUCAAGUCAGCGGUAAAAUUGAGAGGCUCAACCUCUUAGAGCCGUUGAAACUGGUUUUCUUGAGUGAGCGAGAAGUAUGCGGAAUGCGUGGUGUAGCGGUGAAAUGCAUAGAUAUCACGCAGAACACCGAUUGCGAAGGCAGCAUACCGGCGCUCAACUGACGCUCAUGCACGAAAGUGUGGGUAUCGAACAGGAUUAGAUACCCUAGUAGUC
rnacentral:rRNA from 1 species